UACGAAGGGGGCUAGCGUUGUUCGGAAUCACUGGGCGUAAAGCGCACGUAGGCGGAUCUUUAAGUCAGAGGUGAAAUCCCAAGGCUCAACCUUGGAACUGCCUUUGAUACUGGGGAUCUCGAGUCCGGGAGAGGUGAGCGGAACUGCGAGUGUAGAGGUGAAAUUCGUAGAUAUUCGCAGGAACACCAGUGGCGAAGGCGGCUCACUGGCUCGAUACUGACGCUGAGGCGCGAAAGCGUGGGGAGCAAACAGG
rnacentral:rRNA from 1 species